AUGCUUGUUUCAGCAGCACAUACACUAAAAUUAGAAUGAUUCAGAAACAAUUAGCACAGCCCCUGUUCAAGGAUGACAUGCAAAUUCGUGAAGUGUUCUGUAUUAAA